UCUCUCUUGGUUCUGCGACGAGGCGGAUCCAUGGCGGAGAAAGCUUCGGCGACGGCGCAACCAGCACGGCCGGUGUUGGAGGGGUCGGUGCGCGUACUGCUUGGCCUGCAUCGGUGGGCGGGGCGGUGCUGCUCGGUACCGGGAGUGCUGCGUCGCCGCAGCCGGCGGUAGGUGCGAUGGGGAGAUGUGCUCCUCGUGUUCUUCUCCGUCCACCGGGGAAGAGGUCAGCGAUUCGCGAGCGCAGAAGACCUGGGUCCGGUCGACGUGAUGGUUGUCCAAUAAACGGAAACAACAACAAUGGAAAAUCCAGCAGCAAAAGAGUACAUGUUUAGUUCCAAGAAUGGUCAAAGUCAAGGUUAUGUGCUUCGUCUUCUUGGUCCUCUUCUUCAGCAACCUAACAGGAAAACAUUCUCAAUCUGCAUUCCUGCAAACCCAGUUUCCUCGCCGACCUACAACUGCAGUCGUUAGUCUCUGUCAGCCGUUGCAAUCCUCCUCAAGUAGCAGAUUCGAUCAGGACCAUUUACCUGAGGGUGUGAAGCAUCUUCACGUGGAAGUAUGGUUUCUUGGACAAAUUCUUUUCCUUUCUCAUUCUCUAGUGGUUGCUCUUCUCUCCCGUCGAUUGUGUUUUGGGUGGCAGGUUUCUCUCAAUCUGGAUCUCGAGAUGAAUGGCUGGAAGGAGUGGUUGAGGUGCUUUGCUUGGUGAAGAAGGUCGGACAACUGUCUUUUAUAGGCCUUGUAAUGCGAGAAAGACGUAGAGGGCUGAUUCGUAGGGUGUUAAAACAGAGGGUGAAAUCGGGACUCAAAAGCCUUUCACAAACUGAAAUGUGUCUGUUUCUGGGUACUGAAAACAGACACUUUUUUCAUAAACUGAGUGUUUCUUAGUUAAUUGAAACAAACAGCUGGCUUCAUUUGAUUGGUC